UCUACAUCCUGGAUGUUCAAAUGCUCCCGGUACUGCGAGAGAGCAACUUCCUCAGUCCUGUCUAGGAACCUGAGCAGAUCCAGAAGCAGCUUCUGCUCACCCGUUUCUUUGAGGAAAUGGAUGAGAUGACACAAGGCCACCUGCCGCACCUCCAGCUCUCGAAACAAGACCUCUCUCCUUAGCGUCCGUUUCAGGAAUAUCAGGACAGCUGUAAUGACAUUUCCAUCAUGUCCCGCCACAGCUUCAUCCAAGAGCACCAUCUUGUCCUGCAGGGAGCGAAACCUCUCUAGAGAACAGACCUUGCCCCUCUGCAUUCGCCGGACUGUAUCUCUGGGGCUCCAGUCAUUGCUGUAAUC
rnacentral:lncRNA from 1 species